CAAGUUAUUUAUGAAAACUGAAAUAAUCAAUGCAAACGUGACAUAAUGAAAAAUACAAUUAAAAAUAAACUACCGUAAUUUACAGAUGAUGAUGGGCGGCCUGCUGAUACAACAAGAACUGCCACUACAAUGCAAGGCAAUUACCACAUUUGCAAGCUAGGGGAGGGAUCAACAUCAUAACAACAACAACACAGCAGAAAGACAGAACCACUGUGGUGUGGAGGCCCGAAUACUUCAUGCCCGAGCCAUGCGCUCUGUUGGUGCUAGAUGACGGGAACCGAGGCCUUGGCAAAACAGGUCCAAUGGCUGCAGUCUGCUGAAAUAUGUAAUCUAUGAGCAUAAAUAAAGUGUGAUCCUGACAGUUAAUUUUGUAUUGGUGCGUCAUCAUGGUCACAUAGGUACCUGCAAGAGGUGGGACCCUCCUGAAAUCUGGUGGUGUAGACUUUGCAUGUAUUACAAAACUCUCCCGCAUUUCUAGUAACAGUUGCUUGUGAGUAUAUUAAAUUGAAGAUUUAGCAUAUCCAAAUGCUACA